rnacentral:rRNA from 1 species
UACAGAGGGGGCAAGCGUUGUUCGGAAUUACUGGGCGUAAAGCGUGCGCAGGCGGUUUUGUAAGACUGUCGUGAAAUCCCCGGGCUUAACCUGGGAAUGGCGAUGGUGACUGCAAGGCUAGAGUUUGGCAGAGGGGGGUAGAAUUCCACGUGUAGCAGUGAAAUGCGUAGAUAUGUGGAGGAACACCGAUGGCGAAGGCAGCCCCCUGGGUCAAAACUGACGCUCAUGCACGAAAGCGUGGGGAGCAAACAGG